rnacentral:tRNA from 1 species
GGGCGAUUAGCUCAGUUGGCUAGAGCGCCUCGUUUACACCGAGGAAGUCGCUGGUUCGAGUCCGGCAUCGCCUA